AAAGGUACGGAAUAGCCACUGGAAACGGUGAGUAAUACCGUAUGUGCCCUUCGGGGGAAAGAUUUAUCGCCUUUGGAUUAGCCCGCGUUGGAUUAGGUAGUUGGUGGGGUAAUGGCCUACCAAGCCGACGAUCCAUAGCUGGUUUGAGAGGAUGAUCAGCAACACUGGGACUGAGACACGGCCCAGACUCCUACGGGAGGCAGCAGUGGGGAAUCUUAGACAAUGGGGGCAACCCUGAUCUAGCCAUGCCGCGUGAGUGAAGAAGGCCUUAGGGUCGUAAAGCUCUUUCGCCUGUGAAGAUAAUGACGGUAGCAGGUAAAGAAACCCCGGCUAACUCCGUGCCAGCAGCCGCGGUAAUACGGAGGGGGUUAGCGUUGUUCGGAAUUACUGGGCGUAAAGCGCACGUAGGCGGACUAUUAAGUCAGGGGUGAAAUCCCGGGGCUCAACCCCGGAACUGCCUCUGAUACUGGUAGUCUUGAGUUCGAGAGAGGUGAGUGGAAUUCCGAGUGUAGAGGUGAAAUGCGUAGAUAUCAGGAGGAACACCGGCGGCGAAGGCGGCUUUCUGGACCAAUACUGACGCUGAGACGCGAAAGCGUGGGGAGCGAACAGGAUUAGAUACCCUGGUAGUCCACGCCGUAAACGAUGGGUACUAGGUGUCGCGGGUGUUGACCCCGGCGGUGCCGCAGCUAACGCAUUAAGUACCCCGCCUGGGGAGUACAAUCGCAAGAUUAAAAAUCAAAGGAAUUGACGGGGGCCCGCACAAGCGGUGGAGCAUGUGGUUUAAUUCGACGCAACGCGAA
rnacentral:rRNA from 1 species